rnacentral:rRNA from 1 species
CUACGGGUCGCUGCAGUCGAGAAUCUUUCGCAAUGGGCGCAAGCCUGACGAUGCGACGCCGCGUGAGCGAUGAAGGUCUUCGGAUCGUAAAGCUCUGUCACGUGGGACGAACGUCCUGAAGGCGAAUAGCCUGAUGGGCUGACGGUACCAUGAGAGGAAGCCACGGCUAACUCCGUGCCAGCAGCCGCGGUAAUACGGAGGUGGCAAAGUUGUUCGGAUUUAUUGGGUGUAAAGGGUAUGUAGGUGGCCUAGUAAGUCGGGUGUGAAAUCCUUUGGCUUAACCAAAGAACUGCAUUCGAAACUGCCUGGCUUGAGUUUGGGAGAGGAGAGUGGAAUUCCUGGUGUAAGAGUGAAAUCUGUAGAUAUCAGGAGGAACACCAAUGGCGAAAGCAACUCUCUGGCCCAAAACUGACACUGAAAUACGAAAGCUAGGGUAGCAAACAGGAUUAGAUACCCGUGUAGUC